CAGUCUUCAAACAGAAAUCUGCUUUUCAACCACCUUCGAGCGGAUGUUAAUUGCUAUCACAACAACUCGACUUGAUUCAUGACAGUUUUUUCUGUCAAGAAAUAAACAGUUCUACACAAGAGGAUCAUCACGAUUAUUAUGAUAAUGAUUGCAUGGUUGUUAUUGCUCUCACUCUUCGGAAAAAGUACACAAGAUGGACAAGAAAACGGAAUUCCAAAGAAAAUUGGUUGGCUUUGAGUAAUAGUGUUAUCGAUGUCAUGCACAGUUUGCAUUGAGCUAGCAUCACUGAGCUGAAGAACAAAGCCGAGGUGUGUUGUGUUGUGGACCUCAGAAUGUAACUCUUGCCCACAACGAUCAGACACUCCUGUUAAAGUGGGAAGAUGACCCUUCUUGCUCUGUUAUACGAGAUGGGCUCGUGUACGAGCUGCAGCUUCUCAUAGCAGACAAACCUGAACACAAUGGUGAAGUUGUUGUGGCACCUGCACAGAUAGGAUCUACUCAUUCCUGGAAAUGGACUUCCCAUUUACCAUCGCAGUGUGCUCGCCAUUCAGUCCGGCUCAGGUCCCAAUACAACAACCA